rnacentral:rRNA from 1 species
UACGUAGGGGGCAAGCGUUGUCCGGAAUCAUUGGGCGUAAAGAGCGUGUAGGCGGCCCGGUAAGUCCGCUGUGAAAGUCCAGGGCUCAACCCUGGGAUGCCGGUGGAUACUGUCGGGCUCGAGUCCGGAAGAGGAGUGUGGAAUUCCUGGUGUAGCGGUGAAAUGCGUAGAUAUUGGGAAGAACACCUGAGGCGAAGGCGGGUUGCUGGGCCGACACUGACGCUGAGGCGCGAAAGCCAGGGGAGCAAACGGG